rnacentral:tRNA from 1 species
UCCCUGGUGGUCUAGCAGUUAGGAUUUGGUGCUUUCACCUCUGAAGCCCAGGUUCAAUCCCUGGUCUGGGAA